AACCUGCAGCUCGAGUGGUGAUCGUUAUUAUUGGGCCUAAAACGUCCGUAGCCGGUCUUGUAAAUGCCUGGGUAAAUCGUAUGGCUUAACCAUACGAAUUCCGGGUAGACUGUUAGACUUGAGACCGGGAGAAGCUAGAGGUACUCCUGGGGUAGAGGUGAAAUUCUGUAAUCCUAGGGGGACCACCAGUGGCGAAGGCGUCUAGCUAGAACGGGUCUGACGGUGAGGGACGAAGCCCUGGGGCGCAAACGGGAUUAGAUACCCCGGUAGUCCAGGGUGUAAACGCUGCUUGCUUGAUGUUAGUCUGGCUCCGAGCCAGAUUAGUGUCGGAGAGAAGUUGUUAAGCAAGCUGCCUGGGAAGUACGGCCGCAAGACUGAAACUUAAAGGAAUUGGCGGGGAGCACCACAAGGGGUGAAGGCUGCGGUUU
rnacentral:rRNA from 1 species